rnacentral:lncRNA from 1 species
UAGUAUUUAUGUUUUCUAUUCUUUUUUUAGCAAUUCAAUCUGUACUUUCCAUAAAGUACCAAUCCUUAUGAUUUUGUUGUAUCUUUAGAGUUUAAUUUGUUGAAUUUAUAGUUGUGGGUUUUUGUAGUAUAGGUAGUGGGUUUUUGGUGAUUCUACCGUACAGUUUCAAUCUUUGUAGUGAUUCUGCAUUGCAACCCAGAUAAUGAUAUUUUUGAACAUUCUUUAUUCAUUAUUCUGUAUUUCUGAAAUGUAGUUUGUGAUAUCUUAGUGUUUUAGUUGUGGGGUGGGUUUAUGUUUACUGCGAUGCCCAAGGUUGCCUACCGCAAAGUUUCAACCUUCACUAGUGAUGUUGUAUCUGUACAUAUCUGGGUGUUUCAUAGAAGGAGAGUUCAUUUCUGUUGGACAGAUUCACAUGGCAAUUGAUGUUUUUUUUUGGGAUGCUAAUAGAGUUGUGUUUUGGUAUUCUUGUUCUUACUCCAAGAUGGUAGUUUAUCAUAAGCAAGCUAGGUUGGUGUUUUUAUGGUUUGUGACGUGGUGUACACGCUCAGCUUUAUUUUUCCGCAGUUAGCUUUGGUAAUUGUUUUGAAGUAAUGGGGUACUAUUAGUAGAUUGAAUGUAACCUUUUUAAGUAUUUAUCCAGUAUAUGCAAUUUCUUUUAAUGGUUUCUUAUGCUACUGGUAAUUGUUUUGAAGUAAUGGGGUACUAUCAGUAGAUCGAAUGUAACUUUUUUUGAGUAUUUAUCCAGUAUGUGCAAUGUCUUCUAAUGGUUUCUUAUGCUACUCAGUUAUGUACAUUUCUAGACUUUAGAUACUUG